rnacentral:rRNA from 1 species
GACGUAGGGCGCGAGCGUUGUCCGGAUUUACUGGGCGUAAAGGGCGCGUAGGCGGCCACCGCAAGUCGACUGUGAAAUCUCCGGGCUUAACCCGGAAAGGUCAGCCGAUACUGCGGGGCUAGAGUGCAGAAGGGGCAACUGGAAUUCUCGGUGUAGCGGUGAAAUGCGUAGAUAUCGAGAGGAACACCUGCGGCGAAGGCGGGUUGCUGGGCUGACACUGACGCUGAUGCGCGAAAGCUAGGGGAGCGAACGGG